rnacentral:rRNA from 1 species
AGAGUUUGAUCCUGGCUCAGGAUGAACGCUAAGGCCUAACACUGCAAGUCGAGGGGUACCAUGCAGUCGAACGGUAACAGGUUAAGCUGACGAGUGGCGAACGGGUGAGUAAUGCAUCGGAACGUGCCCGGUCGUGGGGGAUAACGCAGCGAAAGCUGCGCUAAUACCGCAUACGAUCUGAGGAUGAAAGCGGGGGACCGUAAGGCCUCGCGCGAUCGGAGCGGCCGAUGUCAGAUUAGGUAGUUGGUGGGGUAAAGGCUCACCAAGCCGACGAUCUGUAGCUGGUCUGAGAGGACGACCAGCCACACUGGGACUGAGACACGGCCCAGACUCCUACGGGAGGCAGCAGUGGGGAAUUUUGGACAAUGGGCGCAAGCCUGAUCCAGCAAUGCCGCGUGCAGGAAGAAGGCCUUCGGGUUGUAAACUGCUUUUGUACGGAGCGAAAAGGUCUUCCCUAAUACGGGAGGCUGAUGACGGUACCGUAAGAAUAAGCACCGGCUAACUACGUGCCAGCAGCCGCGGUAAUACGUAGGGUGCGAGCGUUAAUCGGAAUUACUGGGCGUAAAGCGUGCGCAGGCGGUUUUGUAAGACAGGCGUGAAAUCCCCGGGCUCAACCUGGGAAUGGCGCUUGUGACUGCAAAGCUGGAGUGCGGCAGAGGGGGAUGGAAUUCCGCGUGUAGCAGUGAAAUGCGUAGAUAUGCGGAGGAACACCGAUGGCGAAGGCAAUCCCCUGGGCCUGCACUGACGCUCAUGCACGAAAGCGUGGGGAGCAAACAGGAUUAGAUACCCUAGUAGUCCACGCCCUAAACGAUGUCAACUGGUUGUUGGGUCUUUGCUGACUCAGUAACGAAGCUAACGCGUGAAGUUGACCGCCUGGGGAGUACGGGCCGCAAGGUUGAAACUCAAAGGAAUUGACGGGGACCCGCACAAGCGGUGGAUGAUGUGUUUAAUUCGAUGCAACGCGAAAA